AUGAACGCUGGCGGCGUGCCUAAUACCUGCAAGUCGAGCGAACAGACGAGGAGCUUGCUCCUCUGACGUUAGCGGCGGACGGGUGAGUAACACGUGGAUAACCUACCUAUAAGACUGGGAUAACUUCGGGAAACCGGAGCUAAUACCGGAUAAUAUAUUGAACCGCAUGGUUCAAUAGUGAAAGACGGUUUUGCUGUCACUUAUAGAUGGAUCCGCGCCGCAUUAGCUAGUUGGUAAGGUAACGGCUUACCAAGGCAACGAUGCGUAGCCGACCUGAGAGGGUGAUCGGCCACACUGGAACUGAGACACGGUCCAGACUCCUACGGGAGGCAGCAGUAGGGAAUCUUCCGCAAUGGGCGAAAGCCUGACGGAGCAACGCCGCGUGAGUGAUGAAGGUCUUCGGAUCGUAAAACUCUGUUAUUAGGGAAGAACAAAUGUGUAAGUAACUAUGCACGUCUUGACGGGACCUAAUCAGAAAGCCACGGCUAACUACGU
rnacentral:rRNA from 1 species